rnacentral:lncRNA from 1 species
ACACAACACAGUAGAAGCAUAUCCUCUUUAUUCAAAAGAGGAAUAUCAAAAUAUCAACCUUAAAUAAAAUAAAUUACCAGCAAAAACAUGAAAAAAAUAGUGAACCCUUGUAUAAUGCCAAAACAAUUUCAAGCUUUAAGGAGCCACCACGGCUUCACUUUGAAUAGAGGCUUGGAUUUUGAUUUUUUGUAGGUAUCGAAAGCAAGAAACUCAACCAUAUCUGAAAAAUAACCAAGAAGAUUGUUAGUGUUUUGGAUCCAAUGAAGAAACAAAUUCAAGUGAAACAUGCGGAAAAAAAAGUUCAUACCGGAGUAGUCAAAGUAGAAUGCUAUAUCAUCACUUCUAAUGUCAUUUUCUCACUCAAUCCUACCCGAAUGUUCCUUUCCCGACCUUAAUUAUUUUGUCCAUACAUGUAAAGACACACUAAACAUUG